AUUCACUGCUGAACAAGCAGCUUAGAAA
rnacentral:other from 15 species